AUGAAGAAAUGCCACCAUUUCGAGUGGAUGGAUGAUUACAUCCAUAGGCUUCAAGGGUCGGGCUUGCUGGAUUCGAGGGAGGAUGCAAUCCGCGAGUCCAAUCUGCCCCAUGACAGUGCCGCUCUGGUAGCCGCAGCGCGUCCGAAAUACCCAACGGUGGUAGAUGUCGAACUGAAGACGGAAUUGAAGAAGAUGAACAAGAACUUCAAGCAGCUGAUUGAGUUGAAGAAGCAAUCCAAUCUGAUAGCUUUAGGAAUACUUGCUCUAGGAAUUUUUUACUUGAUGGCCAUCUCUCGUUAG
rnacentral:rRNA from 1 species